UACAGAGGUGGCAAGCGUUGUUCGGAAUUACUGGGCGUAAAGGGCGCGUAGGCGGCCUGCUAAGUCGAACGUGAAAUCCCUGGGCUCAACCCAGGAACUGCGUCCGAUACUGGUUGGCUUGAAUCCGGGAGAGGGAUGUGGAAUUCCAGGUGUAGCGGUGAAAUGUGUAGAGAUCGGGAGGAACACCGGUGGCGAAGGCGGGUCUCUGGGCAAUUCCUGACGCUGAGGCGCGAAAAGCGUGGGGAGCAAACAGG
rnacentral:rRNA from 1 species